AUGUAUAAUUAAAAUUAUUUAUUCUCAAAAUUGUGUGUCGCCAAAUUUGUCAAGUCCUUUUGAUACAACUAGAAAGUCGGAGAAGGUAUCAUUAAUAUAAGUUAUUUACAGGUAUAUUCCCUCGUGUUUUCCAAAAAAUCUUUUCAAGAUUGUCAUGUAUAUUUUGUACCGAUCAUGUUACCAUUAACCACUUUAAUUCUUAUUUGUGGAUAUAAUUAUCUACCAAGCCAGCAAGCCUACACCCAAAAAGUUUCACACAUUAUCAAUAUACUCGUAUGAUUUAUGAACAUACCGUAAAAAAAUGCAAUUUAUGAACAUUUGCACUUGCACCUUAGUUUAGAAAAAAGAACCAUGUUUGUUGCAUAGUAGCAAAUGAUUAGUCUGAGAUGGCGGGUAAAAGUAUGGAGAUCUGCAAAAUUUGUGCAGGCCUUACAUAUCAGAGGUUUCACUCAAGCAAACAGAAAUUCAACUAUAUCUACUACAUUGAAUUUACAUGGCACAAAUCUUAAAGAAACUUCAAACAUAUACAUCUCUCUCAUCCAACAAUCUAAAUCUAUGGAAGAAAUCAGGAACAUUCAAACCCACAUGAUAAAUAACGGUUUUCCUCACCUAAGGUUAGGCAACAAGCUGUUGAAUGCAUACCUGAAAGUUGGCUGUCUUGGUUAUGCACACCAACUGUUCGACGAAUUGCCUCAAAGACAUGUUGUUGCUUGGAAUGCCAUGAUUUCGUGCUACAUUAGACAAAAGAGGAGUGCUGAAGCUGUGGAGUUAUAUAGAAAGAUGGAAUUGGAGGGAGUUUGUCCUGAUGAUUUUACACUCUCCUGUGUUCUCAAAGCGUUUUCUGAUGUGGGACUUGUCUUUGAUGGCCGAAAAGCUCAUGGGAAGGCGGUUGUUUUGGGGUUGGAGGUGUCGAAUGUGUUUGUUGGAAGUGCCCUUGUUGAUAUGUAUGCCAAGUUUGGUCAGAUGAGGAAUGCCCACGUUGUGGCAGACCGAGUUGUGGCGAAAGAUGUGGUCUUGUUUACUGCUUUGAUUGUUGGCUAUGUUCAAAAUGGGCAAGAUUAUGAAGCAAUGCAGGCUUUGAGUCAAAUGAGUAAGAAAGGAGUUAAGGCAAAUGAGUACACUUUUACUAGCAUAUUGGUGAGUUGUGGAAACUUGAAGGAAUUAUGCCUUGGCAAGUUAAUACAUGGCCUUAUAAUCGGAGGUGGUCAUGAAUCUGGCGUUUCUCCACGGACUUCACUCCUGACUAUGUACUCUAAAUGUGGCAUGGUUGAGGAUUCCCUUAAGGUUUUCGAGCAUCUUGUUAACCCAAGCUUGGUGACUUGGACAUCUCUUAUAGUUGGUCUUGCACAGAAUGGUAAAGAAGAAAUCGCCCUCUCUAAAUUUAGUGAAAUGAUGCGUAGCUCAGUAAUUCCAAACUGUUUCACCUUGUCUGGUGCUCUUGUUGCAUGCUCCAGCCUUGCAGUGCUUGACCAAGGGCAACAAAUCCACACCAUUAUACUAAAAUUAGGCUUACACUUGGAUAAGUUUAUUGGAGCUGCUCUCAUUGAUUUGUAUGGGAGGUGUGGUUGUGUUAAACUUGCAAGGCUGGUUUUUGAUGGCUUGUUGGACUGUGAUUUGGUGCUUGUAAACACAAUGAUGUAUGCUUAUGCUCAGAAUGGUUUUGAACAUGAAGCACUGGAGCUAUUUCAACGAAUGAAAGACAUGGGGCUUGAUCCCAACGACGUGACCCUGGUUAGUGUUUUGUUAGCAUGUGACAAUGCAGGGCUGGUUGAUGAAGGUCGUCGCAUCUUUGACACAUUUAUUGGGUCUUCUAACAUUCGGAUAACUAAGGAACACUAUGCUUGCAUGGUAAAUAUAUAUGGACGUGCCGGAAGGCUUCAGGAGGCAGAAUCACUUAUAAGUCAAGUUCAUAAUCCAGAUAUUGUUCUAUGGAGGACUCUGCUGAGUGCAUGUAGGAUUCAUGGCGACAUGACUAUGGCAGGGAGGAUCCUGAAUAAAGUAAUUGAGCUAUCACCUAAAGAUGAGGGGAGUUUAGUUCUGUCCUCCAAUCUUUAUGCAUCAAAAGGUAGCUGGAGCCAGGUUAUUGGAGUGAAGUCUUGGAUGAGGGAGAACAGAUUGAAAAAGAGUCCUGCUAUGAGCUGGGUCAUCAUAGGUGGAGAGGUACACACUUUUAGGGCUGGAGAUUGCUCCCACCCAAAAUUUAAAGAAAUAAAUUACAUCAUAAUGGAACUGAUGAAGAAAGUCAAGGACUUGGGGUAUGUCCCAGCUACUAAGUUUGUGUUACAGGACUUGGAUGAGAAGGAGAAGGAGACGUCUUUGUACUACCACAGUGAGAAGCUAGCAAUAGCUUUUUCUCUGUGGAAGACCUCUGGGAAGACCAGCUGCAUAAGAAUUUACAAAAAUCUUAAGGUUUGUGGGGAUUGCCAUGCUUGGAUAAAGUUUGUUACAACAGUUGUUGGAAUAGAGAUAGUUGCCAGAGAUAUGAAGCGAUUUCACCAUUUUAAGGACGGGGUUUGCUCUUGCAAAGAUUAUUGGUGAAUGUAAUUAUGUUGAUUUUGGCUUGUGGAGAUGGCCAAGUAUUUCACAGCCUCACAAGAUGCAUGGGCGCUUGAUUUUAUUUGCUGAUUUCUCUUCUAUUUGAUGUAUCUAUUGUGUUGCUGCAGCUGUAUAAAGACCAUUGAAACAUGAUUAUGCUUGGGCAAGGGCUGUAAACAAAGAGGUAUGCCAUGUAGGAUACCACAACGGGUUGGUCCAUCUGCAUUCAAUUAAACCUGCUUUCUCCAUUGCUAUUCUGGCAAGCAGUUUCUGAAGAAAUGAUGAGCAGCAGAUAGUGCAGGAAGGCUGGAGGAAUGAGGAUCUCUUAGUAGCCAAAUACCAGCUCCUUCAUCUGUCGCAGCAUUGACAGCCGCAAUUUCUCAUCUGCUUCAGCCUCUUUUAUUAGACUCCGCAAACUACCUUGUACAUGAAAGUGAGUGCUGGGGAUCUAGACUUGAACUGCUCCUUCCACCUUGCGUCUGCAGUCUCACUAUACAUGCUGUCAGAUGCUCUCUUUCCUUUCUUAAUGACCAAGUAAAUUAAAACUGGUUCUAGUUCUGGUGUACCAAUCUACUGAUCUGAUGUAGUAUGAGCUGAUUCAUGAAAGAGAGUUGAUUCAGAACCUGUACCACUGAUAAUGCUUCUUGCAUACUCAUCGGCUUUUGCUGCAAGAGGAAGGGGAACUCCUAUACCAUUUCCCCUUGGAUACCUGAAGCAGCUAGGUCUGUCAUCAACAGCUACUGCUGUUGCAACCAUGUGCAUCAGCUCUGCUUCAUCUGAUGGAGCCAUGACAACCAUAUUUGGUAAACAAGCCAUGUAGGUAAUAUCAAACGCACCGCAAUGGGUUGGCCCAUCUCCACCCACUAAACCUGCUCUAUCCAAUGCAAAUCUAACUGGCAGUUUCUGAAGAUCCACGUCAUGUAUUACCUGCGCAUGUUUGCUUCAAGUUAUUAGCCGGGGAGUUGCUUUACAAAAGUAGGGGAAUGUAUAUUUCUGACAAACAUGAUUCUUCACCUGGUCAUAUCCUCGUUGUAGGAAUGAUGAGUAGAUGGUGCAAAAAGGCUUGAGGCCCUCGGUAGCCAAACCUGCUGCAAAUGUUACUGCAUGUUGUUCUGCUAUCCCCACAUCAAAACAGCGGUCUGAAAAUCUCUUUUGGAAAUAAUUUAAACCUGUUCCUCCACCCAUUGCAGCAUGAACAGCCACUAUUUUCUCAUCUACUUCAGCUUCUUUUAUUAAAGAUUCGGCAAAGUACCGUGUAUAUGGAAGUGUUGCGGAUUUGGACUUGAAUUGCUUCCCUGAUCUAGGAUCGAACUUAACAACCCCUGAGAACAUUGUGUAAUUUAAACAUUAGGAUUUAAUUAUCAAAUGUAAGUUAGUUGGAUGAGAUGUAUAGUUUCAUUUACAGUCUCACGGUCUCACUCUCACCAUGCAUUUUAUCAGAUGCUUGCUCUGCUGGGGGAUAGCCCUUUCCUUUCUCCGUGACUACAUGGAUCAAAACUGGUCCUGGUGCAGGAAGUUCUCUCACUUGCUUUAAAACAGUGAUCAAGUCUUCCAUGUUGUGCCCAUCCACUGGUCCGAUAUAGUAUAAACCAAGUUCCUCAAAGAAAGUUGAUCCAGUACCACUGAUCAUGCCUCUUGCAUACUCAUCGACUUUUGCUGCAAGCAUGUGUGUUUUCCCUCCUAUUUGUUCUGUCACGCUCUUGACGAAACAGGAAUACAAUUCAGAUGCCACAAGUGGAAGGAAAGACUGAUGAACUAUUUAAGAAUUUAUACUUCCUGGGUUUACUACCUUGGCUGUUUCGCGUAAUUUUCUGAAAUCUGGACUUGCUUGGAGUUUCGAUAGCGCUCUACUGAGUGAACCGACAGGACUCGCAGGUCCGUCCAAUGUUGCAGUGGGCAAUGAGACUUGCUUAUUGUCAUUCAAUACUACAAUCAAGUUGGUGUCGAGAUACCCUGCAUUAUUUAAAGCCUCAUAUGCCUGCCCUGCAGUCAUUGCUCCAUCCCCAAUCACUGAGAUAACAUUGUUCUUUUUCCCUAAGAGAUCUCUUGCAACUGCCAUGCCUGCAAUUUGUUACGCGUACUUAGUGAAAUGACAUGCGUCUUUUUUUUAAUAAAUAUUGCAAGGAGAAAGACUAUUGGUUUGAAAGCUCUCGUAAGUAGACUUGGCAAACGGGUCGGCCGUGGCUUGGUUAGAGUUGGAUGUUUUCGGGCUCGGUUAUGUACUUAUAUUCAAGUUGGCUGGUUUUGUGUUCAAGUCGAAUAAAGUUUGUUCAAAGCCCAAAGCAUAUAUAAUAGUGAAGUAUGUAUCAGCUUAAACGAUGAUUGGAGUCCUCGGAAUAGUUUUAUACUCUAUGAGUAGGGAUAACAUUUCUGACCAA